UUUCAGAAGGGAAAAACUGAGGCCCGGAGAGGGCACCUCAUUUUCCCCUGGUCAACCGGCAUGUCCGGAGCCCGAGGACCCUAAUCCUGGCGCCUUCUCCAGGGCGCUCCGCUGGGGGGAGGGGAACGCUGUGCAGGUGGCCUUGCCUCUCACAAACUUGAAGCCGGAGGAAAUGGGGUGCCUAUUCUGGUUCUGGCAAGGGAAGGGUUAAGGGGAUAGCGACCCCUUCCCCCACCCUCCUUGCGUCUCUCUCCCCCUCUCCACCCUCCUUCCUCAUCUCUAAUCUGCCUCUGUUAAUCCCCAGCUUGAGUCCUCUGUCCCUCCCUCUUAGGUACCUGAGAGGAAGGGGGGGAAUGGGUUGAUAGCAGCCAGAUCCCAGGGGUUGGGGUCCAGGGGACAACCGGGGGCGGCACAGACGGAGCCCCCACCCAUCGUUUCCCCCAGGAGGCCACCCCUGGGCUGUGGGAACAGUGCUGUAUGUGAGCCUGCUCAGUUACCUUCGUAGCAGCCCUAUAACUCCAUCUCCGUUUUAUAAGGAAACUGAGGCUCAGAGAGGUUUAGAUAGGUCCCUGAGGUCACCCAGCUAGUCCAGAGGAUGCUUUCCUGACUGAAUCGCAUCAUUUCAGCUUCUUCUGUGAUCUGAAUAGGAUGAGAAUCUCUCAGACCAUCACCUCCUGCUUCCUGUAUAACCGUAGGACACAGCUGAGCUGAGUUUCUGCCACUGUGGAGCAAAGCCCCCCCCUUCCUCCAGAUGUUUGGCCUGAAGUUCUUUCACUCUGUUUCAUUCCUGGGAGACGGAAGGGAUUCGUCAACGCGUGAAAGGUGUCCAGCCUCACGCAGACCAAAGAGAGGAUAACAAACAGGAAGAAAACGCCGUAUGCUUUGGCACUCAUCAAAGAAAGUACGUCUCCACAAGGAGCCCUUGCUCGCUGCUUCCGGGAACAGUGAUCACUGCCCUGCGAAGAAGGCAAAACCCCAGAAGCAAGCCAAGUGCCCAUCGCUGGGAGAAGGGAGAGGUGCACUGUGGGAAAUUCACCUACAGGUGUAUUAAUCAGCAGCCCGGCCGUGUUCCCACCCCAGGCGAACAGCAUGGAGGGACCCAACAACAUGACAUUGGGUGCGGUGACGCUCAACCGACCGAGCCACCCGGGUGCCCCAGCAUGAUAGUCUCUUUAUGAAGUUAUGAUACUUGAAAUGGAAAUGCUAUUUUGGGGGUCACAACCAUUUGAGACAGAGUUAUCUUUAAGCGGGGGAAGGGAUCAAUUCCAGAUUGCGGGGUGGGGUUACUUCAGGGAGAGGAGUCAGAGAGCAGGAUGGGGUUAUUGCUAAAAUUCUGUUUAUCCAGGUGGUGUUCAGUUGGCGGGUGUUUAUUCCAUGAGCAGACUGUAAAAUUUACUGAUAAAUGGAGCGAUGACGACGGAAUAAGGAAGCAGGCGAGCCACAGACAGGAGCCACCCAACCUGGGUUCAUAUUCUGGCAGCGUGACACUGGGCCAGUCGCCUCAACCAUCUGAGCCUCAGUUUACCCGUCUGUAAAACGGGAUCGGAGUAGCUGUAGAUCGAGUAGGUUCACGCUUGCCAAGUGCCUAGAACAGGACCCAGUGGGCAGCAAAUCAUGGAGAAGGGUCUGUUAUGUGAAAACAGGGGCACCUGGGGGGCCCAGUCGGUUGGGCGUCCGACUUCGGCUCAGGUCAUGAUCUCGAGGACAAGUGCACCAAGCUCCCUUUGUGUCCCGCACUAUUCAAAGUUACUCAGAGGUCAAAAACUUGUGUAAAGAGGCAGAGAGUAAAUAUUUUCAGCGUUGCCAACCAGAUGGUCCCUGAUGCACCUACUCAGCUCUGCCCUUGUCGCUUGAAAGCCAAAAGCCACCAGGGACAGCAUGUGAACAGACGGGCUGUGUCCCAAUAAAACUUUAUUUAUGAACA